UUCUCCUGGAAACGGGUGGUAAUGCCGGAUGCUCCAGUUGAUCGCAUGGUCUUCUGGGAAAGCUUUCGCGGUAUGGGAUGGGGUCGCGUCCUAUCAGCUUGACGGCGGGGUAACGGCCCACCGUGGCUUCGACGGGUAGCCGGCCUGAGAGGGCGACCGGCCACAUUGGGACUGAGAUACGGCCCAGACUCCUACGGGAGGCAGCAGUGGGGAAUAUUGCACAAUGGGCGCAAGCCUGAUGCAGCGACGCCGCGUGAGGGAUGGAGGCCUUCGGGUUGUAAACCUCUUUUAUCGGGGAGCAAGCGAGAGUGAGUUUACCCGUUGAAUAAGCACCGGCUAACUACGUGCCAGCAGCCGCGGUAAUACGUAGGGUGCAAGCGUUAUCCGGAAUUAUUGGGCGUAAAGGGCUCGUAGGCGGUUCGUCGCGUCCGGUGUGAAAGUCCAUCGCUUAACGGUGGAUCCGCGCCGGGUACGGGCGGGCUUGAGUGCGGUAGGGGAGACUGGAAUUCCCGGUGUAACGGUGGAAUGUGUAGAUAUCGGGAAAGAACACCA
rnacentral:rRNA from 1 species